rnacentral:tRNA from 1 species
GCCGUGGCUCAGUGGCAGAGGAUCUGUUUGGCAUGCAGAAGGUCCUGAGUUCGAUUCCUGGCAUCUCCA